UAUAUUCUGGUGGCAGUUGAUUACGUGUCAAAGUGGGUUGAAGCCAAGGCAACCGCAAACAAUGAUGCUCAUACCGUGGCAGGAUUCCUGAAGGAGCAAGUGUUCGAGAGGUACGGUGUACCCAAAAUUCUAAUCAGUGAUCAGGGGUCUCACUUCUGUAAUGCCACUAUCAGAGCACUGACUAAGAAAGUGGGGGUGACACACAAGGUCACUACAGCAUAUCACCCCCAAGCUAAUGGCCAAGCUGAGAUUUCCAACCGAGAGAUAAAAAGCAUCCUGGAAAAGGUGGUACACCCCAACCGCAAGGGCUGGAGUAACCAUUUGGGAGACGCGUUGUGGGCAUACAGAACUGCUUUCAAGACACCUAUUGGAAUGUCCCUGUUCCGCUUGCUCUAUGGGAAAAGAUGUCAUUUACCUGUGGAAAUUGAACUUAAGGCAUACUGGGCAAUCAAGCAAAUUAACCUCAGUAUGACCCUGGCCGGAGAAGCAAGAAAGUUGCAGCUGAGUGAGUUGGAAGAGCUUCGGUUGGAGGCUUACGACAAUGCGGUGCUCUAUAAAGAGCGAACCAGGAGGAUCCAUGAUGCCAAAAUCAGGAAGAAGGAGUUCUUGGUGGGACAAAAAGUUCUACUUUUUAAUUCACGCUUCAAGAUGAUGGCUGGGAAACUUCGUUCAAAGUGGUCAGGACCAUUCGUGAUCAAAGAAAUUUUUUCAAACGGAAGCAUCGAAGUGUACGAUUACAAUGGAGUUGAUACGUUCGUGGUGAAUGGGCAUCGCUUAAAGCCAUACCAUGAACUUGCUGAGAUGGAAAAGGAGAAGGAGGAAUGCCACCUUCUCGACCCUGUAUACGAGCAGAGAUGAAGAGGGAGUCGAGCUCAAGACGGGAAACAAGAGCGCUUGCUGGGAGGCAACCCAGUGCUGAGCUGCGGUAUGAUCUGUACCGAAUUUUCUUUUUUUUGUUUUGUUUUGUUUGGAUGCACUAACCCUGUAGGGAGUCGGGCCAAGAUGAAUUUGAAAGAAGGCCCAGAGGAGAAUCCGAGCCCACUUUGCGUUGCAAAGUGUGUAGGUGGAGAGUUGGGGGUUGGAAUGAUCUGGAAGAGGGCUUACGAAGAGGGGUGACGUAAGCGUGUCAGCGGCAGGCGGCGAUGUGACGGGAGCCCUUCGGUUUCCGCAGAAAUUUGAAAUUCAAAUUUUUUUGCCAUGAUUUCUUUCCUUAAAAAUUUCUUUUUUCUGCCAUAACCGUCAUUCUUACCAUCUUUAAAGCCUUAACCCACGAUUUUCUCCCACAAACCCUAACUUCCGAAAACUGCUACACCACGAUCUCCACUCGCCCCAAACCCUAAAUUUCCAUAACUGCCGAUCACUUUUCUUAAAGACCAACCCUUCUCCCAAAAUCCCCACAAAAUCCAAAACUUCCGCGCUAAUUCCAAGUCUUUUGAUCUUUGCAAAUCACUAUGGCGAUCUUUGCAAAUCACUAUGGCAAAAACCAAAGGAGGAACUGGCUCCGGAAGCACCCAACCCCCGAAGAAGAAGAACACCAAACCCCAGUUGCUGAAGUUCGAGUUGAACGCGCAGAAGCCGCCCCAGCUCAACUCUCCCCUGCUCCAGAAGGUGCUCAACACCCCAGAGCCAUACUGACUGAAGAAGCCCCACCUUCCCCUGAAGAAAUCAAGAAGUAUCGAAGAUGGUUUGAACUCCACUCAAAGGAGAACAUCAUUGGAGAACCAUCAGAAGGCGUCAAGACUCGGAGAUCAAUGUGCAACCUCGUCUUCGACAUCAACCAGAACAGCAUCAACGAAGAUAAGAAUUUCAGCUGUUUCUUAUCAACUACAGAGCCCAAGGAUAUUGAAGAAGCUCUGAAGUCACUAAUGGGUCAUCGCAAUGCUAGAGAACUCAAUGAAUUCAACCGGAAUUCAGUUUGGGAGCUUGUGGAUGACCAGACGAUGCAAAGGUGAUUGGCUUGAAAUGGAUUUUCAAAACAAGGAAGACAAGAAGGAAACGUUGUGAGAACAAAGCAAGGCUUGUGGCUAAAGGAUACAGUCAAGAAGAAUGAAUCGACUAUGAUGAGACUUCGCCCCAGUUGCCAGAUUGGAAGCAGUCAGACUCUUCUUAGCCUUCGCAGCUCACAAAGGUUUCAAGGUACACCAAAUGGGAUGGUCAAGUGUGCAUUUCUAAUGGAGUGCUCACAGAUGAAGUCUAUGUGAACAACCUCCAGGAUUUGAGGUUGCUGGACCAGAAAAGGUGUACAAGCUGAAGAAAGCGCUCUAUGGGUUGAAGCAAGCACCAAGAGCGUGGUAUGAUACUCUCUCUGAGUAUCUGAUUGAACAAGGCUUCAAAAAGGGAUCUGUGGACAGAACUUUGUUCACUCUCAAAGAAGGAGAAGAUCUCUUGCUUGUUCAAAUUUAUGUCGAUGACAUAAUCUUCGGAUCCAAAUCCGAACGCAUGUGCAAUAAGUUUGCUGACAUCAUGACGAACAAAUUCCAAAUGUCCAUGAUGGGAGAAAUGAAUUUCUUUCUCGGAUUGCAAGUCAAGCAGACCAAAGAAGGAAUACUGAUCAGCCAGUCCAAGUAUGCCAAGGAGCUGAUAGCUAAGUUCGGUAUUCAGCACAUGAAAUCAGUCAAGAUCCCAAUGAACACAAACUGGAAAGUUGAUCCAGGUUCAGAAGGAAGCUCUGUCUCUUCGAAGAAGUACAGAGAAAUCAUUGGAUCUUUGCUGUAUUUGACUGCGAGCAGACCAGAUAUCGCAUUUGCAGUCGGGGUUUGUGCAAGAUAUCAAUCGGAUCCUAAGGAAGCUCAUUUGGAUGCAGCUAAGCGGAUUCUGAGAUAUCUCAAGGGCACACCCAAUUUAGGAUUGUGGUACCCAGCAGACGACGACAUCAAGCUCACCGGAUUUUCAGACUCCGACUUCGGUGGAUGCAAGCUUGAUCGCAAAUCAACCUCCGGAACAUGUCAAUUCCUAGGCAACAAGCUCAUCUCUUGGUUUUCAAAGAAGCAGACUUCAGUCGCCACCUCUACAACUGAAGCUGAAUAUGUUGCUGCCGGAAGCUGCUGCUCACAAAUCCUGUGGUUAGUCCAUCAACUAAAGGACUAUGGGAUCGAGGAAAAGGAAGUUCCUAUCUAUUGCGACAGCUCCAGUGCUAUUGCAAUCUCCCAGAAUCCAGUUCAUCACACCAGAGUCAAACAUAUUGAGAUUCGACAUCACUUCAUUCGUGAUCAUGUCGAAAAGAAGAAUAUCUCUGUGGAAUGGAUUCCCACUGCUAUUCAGAGAGCGGACCUGCUGACCAAGGCUCUUCCAGAAGAGAGGUUCAAUGAUCUAUGUGCAAAGAUCGGCCUCAUCAACCCUGAAGAGUGAUGCUGUGUUUGAAGAUUUUCUCAAACAGUCAUGCUGACUGGUGGUCAACCAACUGCUGCUUCUACGAUCGCCAACGUGGAAAGCAAUGAAGUCCGAAUGCUCAUCUGAAGAAGAAGUCAUCCUGAUGAUUCAACCAGGAUCACGUGGUAUCAACUGACUACUAUGUUCAGUUGAUCAGUAAGUAUUUUAAAUGCUUACCUUUUCAAAAAUCAGUUAUUUCAGUUUAGAGCUUUAAGUGUUUAGUUCAAAACCUUUUCUCUAACUGAUCAGUUUCUUUCAAAAACUUUAACUGAUUGUUGGAAUUGUUGGAAUUGUUGGAAAAUGGAAUAUCCGAAAAGGACAAGAUUUUUAUAAAGAGAAAAUCUGUUUUGAUUGAACUUGUCCUGAUCUUUUUGCCAAAAAUCCUUCCAACCUUUUUGCCUCUGCAAUAAAAUUUCUUGAAACGCUCAUUGACAUGACAUAUGUAAUGAUGCCUUUUGAAGUCCCUCGCAGUGACGGCGGACGCGAAAUUUUUCUUCAAUUGCAUUUAAGGCACAGUUUUCGAAAAACCUUUUCAUCUUCUACAUGGUUCACAUCUUGUCUAUUUAUACACCAUGCUGUCUUCACGAUUUUUCUGCAUCAACUAACAACUCUCCACAGCCUUCACUGUGAGAAAAAGUUUCAAUUAUUUCCAAAGUUGCAGAGAAAAAAUUGUUCCGACUAAAGGAGAAAUCUAUGACUGCAAAGUCAUGGAGUGGAAGAAUGACGCUCAUAGUCUUGGUCUUCACCGGACCCUUCCACUGGAUCACAACGUCUCUCCGGCGUCAAAGUUUGCUCUACCCUCACUUGUAUCCAGCGAAGCGAGUGUCUUCCAUCCUCAUGCCCGGUGCAUCGGCUUGAAGUAUCUGUCUGAAAUAACACAGACUUCAUCGUCUUCACAUAGAGGCCUCUUGCCCACUGUGAAGCUUCGAUCCAAGCAACAACAAUGAGCAGGAGCUCGUUGUGAACCGGCGCAACAUCGACUGUGUCUAUCCUCACGAUAGCCACUCAGUCGAUUUUCCUCCUCCACACAAUUCUUCUCAUGUGCCUCUUUCUCUUCACCAUCAACCCUCCUCUCAACCUGAUCCCACCCCGUUCUCCAUCUCCUUCCUCCCUCCUCUCCUCACUCUUCAUUUUUCUUUUUCUAAGCCUUCGCCUUCUUCAUCCCCCAUAACCCCAAUAUCUUCCUCCUGCGAACUUACCUUCGCAUGGUCUUCGCUUCCUUCUUAGGUUCGUCCUUCUUUUUGAUGUUGCCAAAAAGGGGGAAAGUUGCACAAUCUUAUGAACUUAAGUCGGUCAAGCAACAUGAUCAUCCUUUCAUCCGAUGAUCAUGAGGAAGAUUAACCAGAGGAUAAGACCUCAAUUCAACGGAACACAAGUGAGAGUGGAACAAGCUUAGGAACAUGAAGACACGAAGACAGAAGAUGAAGAUCAAGAAGUUCAAGGCGCAGCCAAGCAGACUGCUGGAGUCCAUGGGUUUCCCAUGAUGUUUUUGUUUUUCUUUUUACUCCAAUGUAAGUCUUGCUCUGUACCUCGACUGAUGGCUUAUCAGUCUUUAUUAAUGAAAUGAACUUCUUUUUUAUCUCAACCUGAAGACAAUGACUCUUUGUCCAGGCUCUGAUUAUGGUUUUUCUGUCUUCUUUUUAGUUCUGUUUUUAGAACUGUUUUCGUUCUUGCUCUAAGUACAAGUUGUUUAGGUUCUAUUGUUAAGGGGGAACUGUUUUCACCCCUUGUUUAGAACUUGUACUGUGAGUUCAGUCUUUUUGUUGUCUAGAACUGCUGUGUGGUUUUGGCAUCAUCAAAAAGGGGGAAAUUGUUGGGAACCUUGUGGAAUAUCCUAACCCUUGUUUUGAUGAUACCAAAAUUCAUAGGACUUAUUUGUAAUAGACUAGAAUCGUUUUGAACUCAAGUGUUAGAGUUCGUUUCUAGUUUAGUUGCGGUGUCGAAGACUGAAGACUGAAGACUGAAGAACGAAGACUGAAGACUGAAGACUGCAGAUACCAACUGAAGUAUCAGUUGAAGAAUCAGUUAAAGACUGAUUAUUUAAUGUGCGCAAUGGACUGAUACUAAAGUCAAGUAUCAGUUGAACAUUCCUCCUAGGACUGAUCUUCCAACGUUCAGAGGAAGCCACGUACGCACAAGUACAGCCGCAUUAAAUGCAGAGAUCUCAAUAUCUUAUCUCUGCAGAGGUCAUUCCUAUCUGGUGGUUACUUUUCAGAGAUGUCACAUCUCCUGUCCAUCAAAGAGAGCCGUUUCCACACAGACAAGGAACCUCGAAGAUUGAAGCCUUAGCCCAAAUUCGAAUUGCUCUCCAACGAAAGAAAUCUUGAGGACGACUUACGCCAACGGAUCUAUUCAAGAGUUCUCCUACAAAUAGCGCUUGAGGAUCACUUCAAUCAUCACCGAUUCAACGACAUAAGCUGAAGCUCUGCCGAAAUUGCUACUCAGCCUAAAGCUUAACCGCCCAAAGCUUGAAUCGAAGAAGAGAAUUCCAAAGCUAAAAUCAGUCACUGCUGAUUACAUACAUUCUCUUAGACCCUAGGCAUAUAUCUGUUUACCCAGAAGCCAAAGGUAAAACUUGCUUCAAAGAACUUGUUCUUUGUAAGUAUAGUUGGCACUCGUUUAAACCUCUCCCCCAUAAGAGUGUUUGAGUGAUUCGGAGAUUCAGGAAGGUACUCUGAACUCUGAAAGGAAAGUCUGAGCACGAGGUGUGCUUAGCAGGGAAAUCCUACGCGAGUUGUGUAGGUGCUGAAAUCCUAUACGAGGUGUGUAGGUAGAGAAACCCUACGCGAGGUGUGUAGGUACUGAAGAGAGUUUAUCUUCAGUUCACGGUUUGCAGUGCACCAGGCAAGCACUUGCGGAGUGGAUUGUUGGUCUGAUCAACCAGCCGUGGAUGUAGGAAAGAGUUUUUCCGAACCACGUAAAAGUCUCUGUGUUAUUUAUAGCUUUCAGUUUUACAUUCUUAACUGUGCUAUUUCUAUUGAUAAAACUGAACACUGACUAACUGCUAGAGAAACCUUAAUCCAACUAUCUGCUCCACCGAGGCUAUUCGAAACUAAGUUUAAUUUCCACUGCGUGUGAUAUCAAUCUGACUGAACUAUCCUCUGAUAGUAAGGAAGAGUGAUAUCAUCUCUAUCUUUGCAAGCACGACUGAAGCCCUUACGUGGAUCAGUUAAGUUCUUGUGACUUAACUGAUAACUCUUUACUGAAGAGCUUUCAGUAUCAGUCGUCAACCCUGUUGGUCAAAACUAAUUUCGGUUAAACAAGUGUCUGGUUUGCUUGUAAAGUUUCUUUUCUAUCUCUGACUGAGAUCCCUCUGAUUGAGGUUGGUAGAUAGACCCAAAAUAGCCUAUAGGUGUAUUCCCCCCCCCCAUACACCUAUUCGAGACCCCCCCGGACCUAACAAGAGUUGAAGUAAGAUUUUAAUAUUGAGAUAUAUUACGUUUUUGAUGUUCCUAAGCAUGAUUAUGUUGGUUAAUUGUAUUAAUUCUUACUUGAUUUUGACUUUGCUUAAGUUAGUAUGAACCCUAGGUUUUAGUUUGAGAGAUAUGAUUAUGUUCUUGAAUAAUUGAGUUCAUAUAUGUGUUUUUGAGCUGGAAUUACGUCAUACAUGAAUAAAUUAUGAGUUUACACCACAUAGUUUGAUAGAUUGGUUUUGUUAGUCUAGUGGAAAUUAGGGCUUUUAUUAAGAAGGUUUAUAUGCUAUUUUUGAUGGAUAUAGAUAUAUUAUGAUGUGAUUUUAUCAAAUAUGGAAAUUAGAACAGCUCUACUACCUCAUUCUUUUGUAAGGCUCUAUGAUGAGAAUUGUUAUGUUAUAAUUUGUUGGCUAUGUUGUGUGUUAAACAUGAGUUAAGUUUGAAGUUAAAGCAUCUAGAUGUAUUAUGAUCUGUAUUUGAGUCUCUACACUUUUUAUUUGGCCAAAGUAUGAGUUAUAUGUUGAAUUAAAACAAAGAAUGCAUUGCUAUCAGUUUUUGGCUUGACAUAACAGUGUCUUGCAGGAUGAUUUUGAUUAUGUUCUCAUAGUCCAAAUAACUUGAAAUUUUUACUGUAAUAACUUCAGCAUGAGUAGUAGGUUUCUGCAAUAUUUCAGAUAAAUCCGACACCUUUAGAUAUGACAAACUAUUUUAUGAAAAGUACUGCAUGUAGCAACGAAGUUUAGUGGAAAAUUCUGCCUUUGGUGAUAUAACUUCUUAUACAGUUGAUAUAUUGUGUUUUUGUAACUUUCUAAUAAAGAUAAACUUUAAUAGCUUUCUAAAAAGGUAAAGCUUGUAUUUUUCUUUGAAGCGGUUGAUUUUAUUUGAUUUUUCAAAGUGAUUCAUAUAUGAUUACGUAUUUGAGACUUCUUACUUGAGAUAGUUAUGAAUAGAACCAUGCUAAAGCAUUGGUGUUUUAGUUAUUAAUUGUAAGCUAAUCUAUAUAGAAUGGAUUAGUUUACUCUUAAGCUUUCUCGAUUUGAGAUAUCCCAAGAGAUGUAAUGUUAUUAUAUGCUUUUAGUUAAUUAAGUCCAUAAAAGUAAAUUACUUAGAUUAGAGAGGAUGCAACCCUAAGGUUUCAAACGAUAGAAGUUUCAUCUACGAAUUCUUUUCUAUUUACUUAUUAUUUAUCCAAUCUUACUUGGGCACCUCAUUAUGUGAAGGUUCGAGUGGCAACAUAAAGUGAACAGGCAAGGACUUCUAUUUCAUUAAGUUAUCAGGUGGGCUUACUAAUCAAGAAUAAAGAUGCAUACUUUAUUAUAUAAAGUUUAGUGUAUGCAUUUAUUUUCCAAUUAUUGACUUGCCAAUAUUUGAGAUUUGUAUGAUACCAUCUACAUAGAACAACGAAUUCGGUCUGAGCGAUAGGAUUUGUGUACACAGAGUUGCAGUUAACCUUUGGUUAGCUUGUCACGUGUUUGAGAAGAGGCCUACUUCUCAACACUUAAGUUAUAUGAUGCGUAGAUAUGGUACUACAUGUUAAUUGUCUGAGACGUAAUGAUGUAUGUGAUUAUAGAGAAUUUACAGUUUUCAUCACAGGUUAUUUAAAUAAAACUCUGUGUGAUGUUGAGAUGCAAGUUCAAUAUAUAGCUUUAAGAGCAAGCUUUAAAGUUAUUUCGGCAUGACCACUGAGUGCUUUUUGGUACUCAGCCCUGCAUAUGUUUCUAAAUAUGCAGGUUAAGCUGUGGUGCAGAUGGAAGCGAGCAGAGCAAAUUCUUUGAUGUAUAUGUAUUAAACCAGGCUCAGGAUUCCAUGUCUUCAUACAUGUAAUCCACAUGAAUUAUUCCGCUGCAACACUUAGUCUAUUCUACUUUAUCGAUGUGUUGUAUAUAUUUUAGAUCAAUAGCUUUGAGAAUUAUGUCACUUGAAAGUUAGACAACUUGUCGUUGUGUAUUGUAAGUUGUCUACUCAUGAGUUUUAAAAGUGAUUGCCUAUGAUUAUCCAAUAUUAAAGUAAUUCAUCGUUAAAGCGGGUUCAUUAUUAUUAUUGAAAUCUCUUUUCUUUUGCAUUUUCUUACUCCCUUUCCCAGUCACACCUUUCCCCGGCUUAACUAUACACUAGCUUAGGCCGGGCUGUGACAGAGUGGUAUCAGAGCAGGUCAUUUGCUCUGAGCCUAAAUAUUCCCUUGAGUCUAGUCUAAAUUUGAAUAUUUGGACUAGUAUGAGUAAUAUAGUAAAAGCUCUGCGCUCCAUCUCAUCCAGCCUAUCCAGGUAUUGAAUUUCAAAGUUUUAUAGUAUCAAUUUACAGUUUUGAGUUAUUAGUAUUGCAAUUUUGCAAGAAACUUGUAGUUGGAGAAGCUUACAUGUUUUCAAGUGAGUGAAUAUGAAUAACAUGGUUUAUUUAUGAGUAUCCUCUACCAGUAUGAACUUCUUGAGCGGAUAAAAGUGUUGUUCAUAUUUUAAUAUUUAUAUCUUGAUACAUGGAGAAUUUUCAUUUGUUACAUACCAAUGAAAUCUCUUAGACGAUGGUGUGUACGUAUAUCUAUAUAGUGUAUAGAUGCAGGUAUAGAAUGUUGGAUGAUACAAUAAUGAUGUAUGUAAGUGGCACUAACCUAGUACUAGUAGCGAUGUUAUACAAUUAAAGUAUUACGAUUAGUACUAAGCUUUUGCAAGGUACAUUCCCAUCUUUUGUAAGAUUUCUCAUAUGGAAGCAAAUUCUUCUAUGAUAUGAAACGACCAAAGUGGUAUUUAAUAGGUUAUUGAGCUUCACCUGCUUUAUAUGGUUUGAAUUUUGGUGUAUGAGUUUUGUAACUUAGUUUGAUUCUAGUUAAGUAGGAGUUUGACCUUAUUGAUGGAGUGAUUUAAUUUUGGGGAAUUUGUGUAUUUACUCGGCAAUGUCUCAAAGAAGCGGUGGGAAAUCUGCCAUCGGCCAUGUGAAUAAUUUAGAGAACUACUCGUCCCCAUCAACUUGAAAGAAGAAUUUCAGAAGUUUUUCAUCGUCAAUAUUCCCCUAUUUUUAGUAGAGUUUCGCGAGUUUUGCUUCCUUGAUGCAAUGAUCAAGAGCACCUUCUUGUAUGCUAUUUCAACUACAAGGAUCGACUGAUUAUUAGUGGGAGACGAAGCAGAAGAUAUAUACCCUCGAGCGAUUAGAGAAUCUUAUUUGGGGCCAGAUCAUAGAAGCUUUUACCAAGAAUAUAUUUCCAGAAGCCGUCGUCAGCAAAAUGAGACGUAAUUUAACAAUUUAAAGCAAUAGAAGAAGACCGUAGCUGAAUGUGAUCGAGGGUUUUGUGAUAUAGCUGGAUAUACGCCUUAUAAGGUUGACACAUAUAUUAGUUGUAACUUCUGAUAGAGUUUUGAUGUAGUGCCUUUGCUUGUUGGCAAACCAAAUAUUCUUUCAGCUAAUGCAGCUAUAUCUCAUUUCCAUUUCUUCCCACCAAACUUUUGUUUGAGAUCUUGAUAUAAUUUAGUGCUUCUUUGGUGGGCACUAUAUAGCGUAUCAUGAGCUUUACUCUCAACUGUUCAGUAUUGGGUACACAACUUUUCUCAAACAUGAUAGCAGUACCCCUAGCUUUUUGGCAAGUAUUAAUCUCUUCUAUCAGAAUCCUUACCCGUAAUUUUUCUACCUUUUCAUUUUUCCUUUGUAUUGUAACAAUUCUGAUUCUCAAAUCAGGAGCUACUGUUGAAAUUGCAAUUAUAGCUUCUAUGGUUUGUGGUGGUAAAACCACUUCUAAAUUCAACCUUUCGAAUUCCUUGAUCAAUUUUCUUCAUGGGUAAGGAGAAAUCCUUAGUUAACUUGAGUUUUUCUACUCAAGGCAUCCACUACUAUAUUGGCUUUGCGUGGGUGAUAAUUUAUUCUACAAUCAUAGUCCCUUACUAAUUCGAGCUAUAUUCCUUGCCUCAUACUUAGAUCUUUUGCUCGAAUAAGUAUUUUAAAUUUUUAUGAGGUGUAUCAACUCCACAUUUCGUUCCAUAAUACUAUUGUUGCUAGUUCCAAGUUGUGUUGAGCAAUUCAGUUCUUGCUGUAUAAGUUUUCAUGACCCAUUAAUAGUAAUUCUUUCACUUUGCAACAAUGCUCAACUAAGUCCAUCUUUGAUACAGAGGACCGAUUUUAUAUGGUCUUUCAACUUUGAGAAUUCGGCCAUAUUUUAAAAUAGCCUUUCAUCCAACAACAGAUGAGCAAUUUGAGAAAAAUCUUUAAACCUUGGAAGAUGUGAUACAUACUAAUGUAUUAGAGCGAAGAAGUGACUGCUUUAGUGGUAGGGACACUGACAGUCGUGGGUGAUUCCGGGUUCCAAAACUCUCCUUUCGAAAAAGAGUUGUCUUUUCCUCAACUCGGAAGGAGCGAAUUCCCCGCUGAUAGAGGGCAGGAGACGGCCAUCUCAAGGUGCGUAAAGCGUACUCAGAAGCCGCAUUAUGCACUAGACCGAAGGAUGAAUUGGGAAAAAGCUUUUGCUACUCAUCGUAUUUGCCUACGAUAAUAGUUUUCGUGCAACAAUUGAUAUGACACCAUACGGAGCUUAUUGUGGAAAGAAAUGAGGUAAGUGAAAGAAAAGUGACAGGACCUGAUGCGGUUGAAGAAAUGAUUACGCUUAUCCGACAAAUUCGACAACUGCUCAAGGAACCUGAAGAGCGACAUACACUUCAAAUUUUGAGGACGAAAUUUCUUUAAGGGGGAGAGGAUGUAACACCCAGCAUUUUCACGACAGUAUAUGUUAUUAAUAUUAUUUUCUAUUUUCUAUUAUCUAAAAGAAGAAAGAGAAGUAGAAUCACUGAGAUGAGAUGAGAUGAGAUGAGAUAUUAUUAUAAUGUCCUGAGCUUUUAAUUCAGUGAUUGCAUAAUUUGAAUAAUUAAGUAUUCUUGCAUUCUUUAUUAUUUUAAUUCUUGGAAGCAAGUUUAUAAUUCCUAGUUAAAGGGAUUAUUUUAUUAUUUUCAGAGAUGAGAUUGGAGAUAAAUACGAAAUACUAUUAGUCGACUUAUUGCUCGACUAAUUGAAGUGACGGAUGUUAUUUAAUUAUUUGAGUAUUACUUAUUAAUGAGUUUAUUGAUUUAGUAAUAAAGAUAAAUUACUAAAUCAAUAGUGUGAAUGAUAUGUGAAUAUUUAUUUUAUCCUCAUGUGAAUAGUUUUGAUAGAGUAUUAUGUCAUGAGUAGCCCUAUCAAAAUUUUUAUAAUUGGAGAAUAUUAUCCAAAUAUUUUUCCAAUUUAAUUGUUGAUAGAAUUAGUGUAUUAGCUAUAUUUAUAUUAAUUGAGAGAUAGAGUUUAAAAAAAAGGGGAAAAAUCCAAAUGGAUCGAAUACUUGGAGUUGGAGUCAGAUUACUUUUAAAAUGCUAACUCUAGCAAUUUGUUUCUAAUUGCACAAUUUCCAAGAAAAAGGGGAAUGUAUAUAUAUUACUCAAAUAGGAGAAGAUUUACUUCAUUUCUCCUACUCCAAACCCUUCGAUCCCCACCAUUACUGAACCACCAUUUUACUUCCCUCAAGAUCAAUUUUGAAGAGAGAUUUCAAGCAAUAAUUACAAUACUUUGAAAGAAAAGGUGAAUUUCUUGAUUUUCUACCCCUCUCUAACUUUAGCUUGGAGAAAUUUCUAGUUUAAACUUUAGGGUUUUCGAAAAAUUUGGGGAUUUCAUAUUAGAAUUGAGGUAUGAUUUUAAUAUUGAGAUAUAGUACGUCUUUGAUGUUCCUAAGCAUGAUUAUGCUGGUUAAUUGUAUUAAUUUUUACUUGAUUUCGAGUUUACUCAAGUUAGUAUGAACCCUAGGUUUGAGGUUGAGAGUUAUGAUUAUGUUCUUGAAUAAUUGGACUCAUAUAUGUGUUCUUGAGUUGGAAUUAUGUCAUAAAUGAGUAAAUUAUGAGUUUAUACCACAUAGUUUGUGAGAUUGAGUUUGUUAGUUUAAGUGGAUUUGGGAAUUCUUGAUGUAAGAUAGCUACAUGUUUGAUGCUUGUGUAAUUGUACUCUCUGAGUUGUAAAAUGAGAUUAUAUGAUAAUAAUUGGAGGAUAUUAAGCAUGCUACUAUAUGUUGAUGUGUUGAACAUGAAUUAAGCUAAGCUAAAGCAUGCUAAUGUGUGUUAAGAUGAUGUAUUUGAGUUCCUAUAGCUGUUAUUUGAGAGAAAUAUGAGUGAUAUGUCAAUGAGCUUUGCUGUCAGUUUUCGGCUUGACAGGGCAGUAUGUUUCGAGGUGCUUUUGAUGAUGUUCCCGUAGUCCAAAUCUUUUGAAAUUUUUACUGUAAUAACUUUAUCAUGAGUAGUACGUUUCUGCAAAAUUUCAGCUAAAUCCGAGACCAUUAGAUGUGUCAAACGAGUUUCUGAAAUGUACUGCGCGAAGCAGCAAAGUUCAGUGGCAGAUUUUGCCUUUUGUGAUAUAACUUUUCAUACACUUGAUGUAUUGUAUUUUUGUAACUUUCUAAUAAAAAUAGACUUUGAGUGAUUUCUAAAAAGGUAAAGCUUGUAUUUUUCUUUGAAGAGGUUGAUUUUAUAUGAUUUUUCAAAGUUGAGAUUCAUAUAUGAUUACAUAUUUGAAGUUACUUACUUGGGAUAGUUGAGUAGAACUAUGCUUAAGUCAUUGGUCAAUUCUUGAAUUGAUGUUUUAGUUAUUAAUUGUAAGCUAAUCUAUAUGGAAUGGAUUAGUUGCUCUUAAACUUUUUCAACUGUUUGCUUUUAGUUAGUUAAGUCCAUAAAAGUAGAAUACAUACAUCUUUCAAGCGAUAGAUGUUCCAUUCAAGAUUUAUUUCCUAUUUACUUACUUAUUAUCCAAUCUUACCUGGGAACCUCAUUAUAAUGAAGGUUCGAGUGGCAGUGUAGAAUGAACAAGCAAAGACUUCUAUUUCAUUAAGCGUAUCAGGUGGGCUUACUAACUCAAGAAGUAAAGAUGCAUACUUUAUUAUAUAAAGUUUGAGUGUAUGCAUUUAUUUUCCAAUUAUUGACUUGCCAAUAUUUGAGAUUUGUAUGAUACCAUCUACAUAGAAGAACGAAUUCGGGUCCUGAGCGAGUCAGGAUUUGUGUACACAGAGAUAACAGUUAACCUUUGAGUUAGCUUGUCAUCGUGUUUGAGAAGGAGGCCUACUUCUCAACACUUAAAGUUAUAUGAUGCGUAGAUAUGGUACAUACAUGUUAAUUGUCUGCACACGUAUAUGAUGUGAUGAUGAUUAUAGAGAAGUUUUACAGUUUCGCAUACACAGGUUAUUUAAAUAAAACUCCUGUGUGAUGUUUGAGAUGGCAAGUUCAAUAUAUAGCUCUAAGAGCAAGCUUUAAAGUUAUUUCGGCAUGACCACUGAGUUGCUUUUUGGUACUCAGCCCUGCGUAUGUUUCUAAAUAUGCAGGUUAAGUUGUGGUGCAGAUGGAAGCGAGCAGAGCAAAUUCUUUGAUGUAUAUGUAUUAAACCAGGCUCAGGAUUCCAUGUCUUCAUACAUGUAAUCCACAUGAAUUAUUCCGCUGCAACACUUAGUCUAUUAUACUUUAUUGAUGUGUUGUACAAAUUUUAAAUCAAUCGCUGGAAAAUUAUGUCACUUGAAAGUUAGAGAACUUGUUGUGUAUUGUAAGUUGUCUACUCAUAAGUUUUAAAAGUGUUGCCUACGAUUAUUCAAUAUUAUAGUGAUUUAUUGUUAAACUUGGUUCAUUAUUAUUAGUGAAAUCUCUUUCCUUUUUC
rnacentral:lncRNA from 1 species